GCGGUAAGCCCCCUUAGAGUUGCUGCUAAAAAGAUUAAAAUAUGAUAAAAACUAUGAAAAUAAAACUUUUCUUCUAACUGUGAAAGGUGUAUUUUUGGACUACUCACAAGCACUGUUCAUAUCUAUGACAAACUGCUUGCUGAAAGGGACUUGGCUAUUAAAGCUUAAUCCAGAACUGACUGAGAAAUUGUUGGAAAGAGAAAGUCCAACCAAGAAACAAGAUGGCGAGCUAAUCCGGAGAAGAUCCAUCGAACUGUGCCGCACGCAGGAGCGAGAAGCACAGGAGAUUCCCGUUUAACAUCCUUCGACCUGAUGUUGACAACGGCCCACCGGGGACGCUGUUUUUUUGGGGGCACGAGUGCGGCCGCCCGCCUGGGGAAGAUCCCUGCAUUUUGGGGCAGAUGUUGUCAAUGCUGGAUCAGUGGAGGAGGCCCGGACCUGCACGUUGAGACCCGGGAACACCCAGGGGAGGGCCCGACCGAGCUGGAGACACUAACUCUGAAAGCGAAUAUAAAAAUAUAUAUGCACAUUCAAAAAGCCAUUGAGUGACAGGCGAACAAGCUCUGGUCUUCAGGUCCAGACUGCCUGUCGAUCAAGUCAAAAAUGAAGUUGCCAGCCACGGCUAGUCCAAAUAUACGUAGACUUGCCGUAUGUAAACGCGUGUAGGUAAGCCUGUCUCAAUAUGGAAUAACUCAGUUAAUAGCACGAUUUUUAAAAAAUGAGUACGGUAAUUUUCUGUACGGUAAUUUACCGCUGUGUGCACUCUGCACACAUGCAUAUUAGCCCAUUGAUUGAUGGCAGAUUUGCAUGUAAUGCAAACACUACCAUCUACAGCAGGGGUGUCCAAACU